rnacentral:rRNA from 1 species
UACAGAGGUCCCAAGCGUUGUUCGGAUUCAUUGGGCGUAAAGGGUGCGUAGGUGGCGCCGUAAGUGGGGUGUGAAAUUUCGGAGCUUAACUCCGAAACUGCAUUCCAUACUGCGGUGCUUGAGGACUGGAGAGGAGACUGGAAUUCAUGGUGUAGCAGUGAAAUGCGUAGAUAUCGAGAGGAACACCAGUGGCGAAGGCGAGUCCCUGGACACUUCCUGACACUGAGGCACGAAAGCUAGGGGAGCAAACAGG